AGUGAACGCUGGCGGUAGGCCUAACACAUGCAAGUCGAACGGCAGCACAGUAAGAGCUUGCUCUUACGGGUGGCGAGUGGCGGACGGGUGAGGAAUACAUCGGAAUCUACUUUUUCGUGGGGGAUAACGUAGGGAAACUUACGCUAAUACCGCAUACGACCUACGGGUGAAAGCAGGGGAUCUUCGGACCUUGCGCGAUUGAAUGAGCCGAUGUCGGAUUAGCUAGUUGGCGGGGUAAAGGCCCACUAAGGCGACGAUCCGUAGCUGGUCUGAGAGGAUGAUCAGCCACACUGGAACUGAGACACGGUCCAGACUCCUACGGGAGGCAGCAGUGGGGAAUAUUGGACAAUGGGCGCAAGCCUGAUCCAGCCAUACCGCGUGGGUGAAGAAGGCCUUCGGGUUGUAAAGCCCUUUUGUUGGGAAAGAAAAGCAGCAGGUUAAUACCCCGCUGUUCUGACGGUACCCAAAGAAUAAGCACCGGCUAACUUCGU
rnacentral:rRNA from 1 species